ACCAUAGUAGCUUCCUCUUCCUUGGGCCUUUUCUGGCCAGCACUUCAGUAGAUCAUUUAUUGAUCCUGGCAUGAUCUGUUGCAAUGCAAUCAUUUAGGCUUCCACAAUUGCAUAAUUACUCUGAAUGUCUCUCACACAGAAAGCACUUGCUACAUAGGUCAGAGCCUCUUUUUGGAGAUUCUCACGAAUGAGACAAGCUUCUUUACACAUUACCAUUUAAAUCAAGCUACCUUGAAUGGAGCUUUGGAUCUCCAGAUCUGUUUCCAUGGCAAAGGACUUGGUAAGUUCUCCGGUUUUGUUAAAAUUUUGUAGCAUGAUCUCACUGUGAGCAGACCCUUUUUUCUAGGGAUCCAUGUUAUGUUGCCUUCUGUAUUAGUGUGCUGCUGAUGUGUUCAAAAGACUGAAAAAAUCAACAGCCCAGUUUCAACUGUCAUAAGCUGGCUCUCUCAUCUUGCUCUUGUCCAAGCUAGUUACGCAAUUGCACGUUGCUUACUUGGUUUGGUGUUUAAAAGGUUUGACUACUACUCUCUUAUCCCAUACACUAGCAAAUCUUCAGGUUAAGGUGGAUUGGAAUUUGCUUGGGGCAUAGUGGCUGGGAGGCCUUAACCUUAUAGCUAUUAGCCGUGAAUAUAUCCUGUUCGAUUGUACUUGGACCUUAAACGUUUUAAUAGAUUUAUUCAGCAUGUUUGUCUGAUUUACCUCUUGACAGAUUAAGGAGCACUGCCAUCAGAAUAACACUUUGAAUUGAAAGGAAUCAACUUUUUAGUUGAGUGUGGCUUGGGUUACGUACUUAUGUUGGAUGGUAGCAUAAAAUGGGUGAAGAGAAAUAGAGAUAAAGUGUAGCAAGAAGAGUACCCUUCUGAAUCUUAUGUGGAUUUCUUAUGAUGUUUGUGAACAGUAAUGCUGAAUCAUAAAAUAUGCUUUAUCAGUGUCUUGGUUAGAGGUAGCUAAGAGAUUGCGAAGGGUGAGGGAGGAGGUAAGAAUGAUAUUGAAAUGGUCUCCUAGAGUGUAUCCCAAAACUGCUGUCUCUUGCUUUUCUGUAUCUGGGUUUUGUAUGAAACUCAUGAAAUUUAUUAGCAUAGGUGAUGGUUUACCUUGAUUAUCUGCUUUUUUCUCUUAAUGUGGUUCCUUUUUUUAUUUUGGAAACUUUUCAGGUAUGGCUUGGUCUUGGAAAAACAGUUCUCACAAAUAUAUCCAAAAUCCUAAGCUUGGCCAUAUCCAGGUUUUAGAGUACACUGGUCUUAUGUAACCCAAAGACAUGUUUCCCCUUUAAGUUAAAAACUUAUCUAAACGCAGUAAACAACUGUUUUCCAAGACUUCCCAAAACUCAACUUAUGCCAAAAAAACAUUCCAGGAACUCAACAAAAAACUAACUCAGAAUGUUUUAACAUUUGAAUGGAGAAAGCACAAUUCGGAGCCCUACAGCAAUCCGUCUUGUCAAGUUAGUGCCCUUGAAUGCUGUUUAGCAUCUCGUUUUUAGUUAUCAGCUCUGGAGCAUGUAGAAAGUGCAGUAAAUUUAUUGGUCCUAAAGAUACCGUAAUUGCCUAUGCUUAAUUAUCAGCUGGGGUCUAGGUUUAUUUGUAAUUGUUUCAAUACUUUCAGGCCUUCUCUAUUGGCCAUGACUUACCACUUAAUCCUGUUUAUGUUUCCCUACUUGUUAUUGUGAGAUCUUAAGUGAUUGAAUGCUUUGAUAAUAUAGGUCAAGUUCUGAGCCCUUGAUUAUUACUACUACUACUACUUCCUUUAUUGCUAGAUUUUCUUAAAUGACUGAAUGAUUAGAUAAUAUUACAGUAGUGUCCCGUUCUUCAAAAUAUCCAUCAUUUUAGAAGUGCAUGUGAAAGAAUGCAGACUACAUUAACACUUCCCGUGGUAUUACUCUGCAAUCACAUUACUAAAUGAUGGAGCUUCACUAUCAAGUUUUAAUAGUUGAAUAUUCUAUUGUAUCAUUAUUACUUCCUCCGUUUCAAAAAGAAUGGUCUAGUUUGACUUGGAAUGGAGUUUAAGAAAAGAAAGAAGACGUUUUAAUCUUGUGGUUCUAAAUUAAAGUUAUGUCAAAUGUACCAAAUGUCCUUAAUCUUGUGGCCUUAUACAUGCCACGUGGAAAGUUGAAGUUAAAGUGUUGCCAAAAAAGGAAAGGGAUCAUUCUUUUUGAAACAGACUAAGAAGGAAAUUAGGACAUUCUUUUCGAAAUGGAGGGAGUAGUUGCUAACCCUGAGAUUCAUUAUCCUGGAAAAAGAAAGUAUUUUGGACUUUUGAUGUUUUCUGGGAAUCAACCUUUUGUUUUCUAUGUAUUCACCUUCAGCCCUCUGGUGGAUACCAAAGCUUUUGGACGAAUGCAUGCUACAGAUGCCGAAUCUUUUGAUUUGCAUUCGUUUUACAGAGGGGUGUGUGAGAGCAUUGUGAUGAGACAUCAAUGAGAUUUCUUCUCUUUUAUUCUUUUUCUGUGGUUUGAACAUUGGACAUGGUAGCAUUUGGUUUAUCACCAUAAACGAUGCAGAUUUUGGCGUCCACCAAGCUCACAAGUCACAAAGACCAGGAAAUUGAGCUCUUCGUCAGUUUUCCUUUUCUUUUUACAUAGCAGAACUGUUUUAAGUGAUAGGUUACAUGCAAUUGUUGCAACUAUGCUGGCUACAUCAGUAAAGGGGAUAGCCAUAAUCCAUAGCAUAUACAAUCGACCUUCCAGUGGUGAUUUGCAGCACAACAGUGCCUGGCACUGCGCAUUAAAAAUUCUGUUAUUUAUGGUCCAUCUAAGAAAUAAUAUUGAUUUGAUUCUUUUUUCAGAUGUGAACUUGUGGAUGGGCCUGUUUGGAUAACAUUGCCUCCAAUUUAUUAGAGUUGUGUCUAUAUGGCCACCAAAACGGGUAUGAUCAGUUUCAUUCUUCUAGUAUUCUUUUGUUUCUGUAUUUCACACGUAAGCAAAGAAAGUAAGAAAAAAUGAGCUCUUCAUAGUUCUUUUUCUUUAUUUAGUGCCGAAUUUUCAUACAUCAUCAGGGCGAUGGUAUAUUUACAACUGAUAAUGUUGCCAUGAAAGUCCCCAUAUCUACCCAGGGGCUUGAGAAAUAUAAGUAACAUACAUCUCUUCACUCUUCAGAUACUCUUAUUUCUGCAGUGCAGCAUACCGUCUCAAUGGUGUGAUCUGUAG
rnacentral:lncRNA from 1 species